rnacentral:rRNA from 3 species
AAAUUGAAGAGUUUGAUCAUGGCUCAGAUUGAACGCUGGCGGCAGGCCUAACACAUGCAAGUCGAACGGUAACAGGAAACAGCUUGCUGUUUCGCUGACGAGUGGCGGACGGGUGAGUAAUGUCUGGGAAACUGCCUGAUGGAGGGGGAUAACUACUGGAAACGGUAGCUAAUACCGCAUAACGUCGCAAGACCAAAGAGGGGGACCUUCGGGCCUCUUGCCAUCGGAUGUGCCCAGAUGGGAUUAGCUAGUAGGUGGGGUAACGGCUCACCUAGGCGACGAUCCCUAGCUGGUCUGAGAGGAUGACCAGCCACACUGGAACUGAGACACGGUCCAGACUCCUACGGGAGGCAGCAGUGGGGAAUAUUGCACAAUGGGCGCAAGCCUGAUGCAGCCAUGCCGCGUGUAUGAAGAAGGCCUUCGGGUUGUAAAGUACUUUCAGCGGGGAGGAAGGGAGUAAAGUUAAUACCUUUGCUCAUUGACGUUACCCGCAGAAGAAGCACCGGCUAACUCCGUGCCAGCAGCCGCGGUAAUACGGAGGGUGCAAGCGUUAAUCGGAAUUACUGGGCGUAAAGCGCACGCAGGCGGUUUGUUAAGUCAGAUGUGAAAUCCCCGGGCUCAACCUGGGAACUGCAUCUGAUACUGGCAAGCUUGAGUCUCGUAGAGGGGGGUAGAAUUCCAGGUGUAGCGGUGAAAUGCGUAGAGAUCUGGAGGAAUACCGGUGGCGAAGGCGGCCCCCUGGACGAAGACUGACGCUCAGGUGCGAAAGCGUGGGGAGCAAACAGGAUUAGAUACCCUGGUAGUCCACGCUGUAAACGAUGUCGACUUGGAGGUUGUGCCCUUGAGGUGUGGCUUCCGGAGCUAACGCGUUAAGUCGACCGCCUGGGGAGUACGACCGCAAGGUUAAAACUCAAAUGAAUUGACGGGGGCCCGCACAAGCGGUGGAGCAUGUGGUUUAAUUCGAUGCAACGCGAAGAACCUUACCUGGUCUUGACAUCCACGGAAGUUUUCAGAGAUGAGAAUGUGCCUUCGGGAACCGUGAGACAGGUGCUGCAUGGCUGUCGUCAGCUCGUGUUGUGAAAUGUUGGGUUAAGUCCCGCAACGAGCGCAACCCUUAUCCUUUGUUGCCAGCGGUCCGGCCGGGAACUCAAAGGAGACUGCCAGUGAUAAACUGGAGGAAGGUGGGGAUGACGUCAAGUCAUCAUGGCCCUUACGACCAGGGCUACACACGUGCUACAAUGGCGCAUACAAAGAGAAGCGACCUCGCGAGAGCAAGCGGACCUCAUAAAGUGCGUCGUAGUCCGGAUUGGAGUCUGCAACUCGACUCCAUGAAGUCGGAAUCGCUAGUAAUCGUGGAUCAGAAUGCCACGGUGAAUACGUUCCCGGGCCUUGUACACACCGCCCGUCACACCAUGGGAGUGGGUUGCAAAAGAAGUAGGUAGCUUAACCUUCGGGAGGGCGCUUACCACUUUGUGAUUCAUGACUGGGGUGAAGUCGUAACAAGGUAACCGUAGGGGAACCUGCGGUUGGAUCACCUCCUUACCUUAAAGAAGC